rnacentral:piRNA from 1 species
UAAAUUUCUGAUAGUAAAUUUGUGAGGUUC